CUACACACGUCAUAACAAUGGCCGGUACAGGAGGGUAGCCAACCCGCGAGGGGGAGCCAAUCCCACAAAGCCGAUCGUAGUCCGGAUCGCAGUCUGCAACUCGACUGCGUGAAGUCGGAAUCGCUAGUAAUCGUGGAUCAGCAUGUCACGGUGAAUACGUUCCCGGGUCUU
rnacentral:rRNA from 1 species